GAUGAACGCUGGCGGCGUGCCUAAUACAUGCGAGUCGAGCGAACGGACGAGAAGCUUGCUUCUCUGAUGUUAGCGGCGGACGGGUGAGUAACACGUGGAUAACCUACCUAUAAGACUGGGAUAACUUCGGGAAACCGGAGCUAAUACCGGAUGAUAUUUUGAACCGCAUGGUUCAAAAGUGAAAGACGGUCUUGCUGUCACUUAUGGAUGGAUCCGCGCUGCAUUAGCUAGUUGGUAAGGUAACGGCUUACCAAGGCAACGAUGCAUAGCCGACCUGAGAGGGUGGUCGGCCACACUGGAACUGAGACACGGUCCAGACUCCUACGGGAGGCAGCAGUAGGGAAUCUUCCGCAAUGGGCGAAAGCCUGACGGAGCAACGCCGCGUGAGUGAUGAAGGUCUUCGGAUCGUAAAACUCUGUUAUUAGGGAAGAACAUAUGUGUAAGUAACUGUGCACAUCUUGACGGUACCUAAUCAGAAAGCCACGGCUAACUACGUG
rnacentral:rRNA from 1 species